AUUUGAGUACAGGUUUUGCAUUCGCAGGGGGAGUGAUAUGGAAUCAUCAAGGGAACUGGAUUUUGGGAUUUAACCAUGUUAGAAGUUGUGUGACCCAAAUUCUUGUUAAAAUAAACACAAGUGGUAAGAUAAGGGGAUCUACGAGGGCGAACUAUGAUAUUUGAUGUUUACUUCCUCUAUUUGAUGUUGAUUACAAUAAGGUGUUUUAACCUUACUGCAUUGCUUCUAUUUGACUUUGAUUAGAAUAAGGUUUUAAACCUAUAAAUAGACGUAAUCAUCUCUCCUCUUGUAUCAUUCGAAUUUGACAUAAUGAAUUUUCUUCUCCUCUGCCUGAGGUUUUUCUCCCAAAAGAGUUUCCACGUAAAAAAAUUAUGUGUGUUCUAUUUUUCUUUCUUUUCUUUGCGAUACAUUGUCAUUAUCGACGUUCUAUUUUUCACAAACCAUUCUCUAGGGAUGUGUUCUAUUUUUUAUGCUGAGCUGUAGGGUAUCUUCAAUGGGCUAAUUAUUUUGCAAGAUCGAGGUUUAAAUAGCAUAUUGAUUCACACGGAUAGCCUUGAGGUAGUUCAUGCUUUGUAAAGGUGUAAUACAACUAGUUCGAGCUAUGCAAUGGUUAGGCGGAUCCAACAAAAGCUACAAAGUUUCGAGCAUUGGAAGAUCAGACAUGUACAAAAGGAAGCCAACAUCGUCAUUUUUUAUUGCAUAUAUUGUUAAGAUGUUGUACAAAUAUUUGAGCAAUUUGGGUAUGGAUCAUUGGAAAGUAGUCGAAUGAUUCAUAUAUUAUUUUCAAAAAGAAAAAAAAACAAAACACUGCAUGCUUACAUAUCGAAGGUUCGAUAAGUUAGAGACAGAUCCGAUUUUGAUGGAAUAUGGAUACAAAGUUUUUCCAUUAAGGUGAAAAUUAUGAAAAUAAAUUAUAGUCUUUUAUUCAAAUAAUAAUAAGAGUACAUGAAAGUCAAAGCAUAUAGACUUUAAAUUCCUCAUUAUUAAAGUAAGAGUUUAGAGUGGUCAGAUGUUUAUAAAGUAUAUUGGGACAAACUGUAGCAUCCCAACUUCUCGACUGAUCAACCGGGCAAACCAGAAUUGCUACAAUCACAUAAAAUUUUUAAUUAAGAUAUUAACAAGUGUAUUAAUGGUGAUUAACAAUAAUAACUUCAUUAAAUUGUAGCAAUCAAUCUAUGUUAGAAUAAAUACAAUGAUUUUCAAACUCAGUUACAAGAAAUUCUAAUCCUGAGGCCUAGCCUAUAGGUUUCCCCCACUAUAUGCAUGUUACGGAUAAGAGGAACAAGCUUACAUAAGCUCGACGGAUUCUGGCUUAAUCCCUCUCCAGUAUCUCGUAUAGCUCGUUUUACCUGAAAACCAUAACAAGAAGCUAGGUAAGUUCAAAUGAACUUAGUGAAUUUUAAUAUAACACACUCGAUCAUGAUAUUAUCAUGUGAUAUGACUUCAAUGGCCUGGUCUCAUGUUUGACAUCAAAGGCACGUGGGCAUAUCGCACGUCUUCUAGGUGCACACUUGACGUCUUCUAAGGCUCCUGCUAGCCUCUCUAGAUUCACCCCUGCAUGAUUCCUUUAUUUUAUUUUUUCCCUUGUGCUAUAUAUGAAUUUAUAAUUUAAUAAUUUAUAAGAAAUAAAAUUAUAAUUUUUCAUUUUUUGGGUUGCUUCUCUUUACAUUUGCUCAUAUUUAGGAUGUUGUAGUAGGUUUUUAUAAUAAAAAAAAAACAAAGAUAUACUUGUAUAAAAUUUUAUUUCAUCUUUUUCAUAUUUUUUUUAAUUUUAAUAUUGUUUAAUGUUUGUAGUAAUCUUUCUAACUGUUUGAAACCUUUAUUAUUGACAGAUAAGCAUAGGUGUAUUAUGUAUCGAGUUUUACUCUUUUAACAUUCUAUGAAUUUAGUUCUUUUUUCUACCGAGAAAAAAAAUUGAACAAUAAAUUUUUAUUUUUUAGAAAUUUAGUAAGUGUAUUGAGUUUUUUUUUAGAAAUUUUUAAGCUUUCUGGUCCCCACAAAUGAACAAAGAUUCAUUUUCUUUACCAUAUUUACAUGUAUCAAUAGUUCCAAAUUUUUUUAUGUUGGAGAUUCUUACUUUUUGGGUAAGAUGGUUUGCGAUGAGGAGAUUAAAAAGGCUCUCUUUGAUAUGGCUUCGUUAAAGGUUCCAGGUAGUGAUGGGUUUCAGGCUAAUUUUUUCAAAAACAGUGGAGUGUGGUGGGAAAAGAUGUUUGCGAUUGGGUUAAAAAGAUUUUUACCGAUGGCUUUAUCGAUCCAAAUUUGAAUAAUACUUUCAUUACUCUUAUCCCUAAAGUUUCUAAUCCUAAAACUUUUUCACAGUUUUGACCCAUUAGUCUCUACUUUAUGCUUUAUAAAUUGGUGAUGAAAGCUAUAUCGAAUCGUUUUAGGGUUGUUUUCCCUAAAAUUAUUGCUGAGGAACAAGUAGGGCUUAUAGCUGAGAGAAAUAUUACUGAUAACAUCCUUAUAGCUCAAGAAGUUAUUCAUUCGAUGAAAGGUAGGAGGAACAUGAAGCCUUGGAUGAUGAUUAAAAUCGAUCUUAAAAAAGCUUAUGAUAAGGUUAGGUGGGAGUUGAUUGAAGCAUUUAUUCAGGCGGCUAGCAUUCUGGAAUAUUUGGUGAAGGUUAUUAUGUCUGCAAUUUCAAAUUCUACCAUGCAUAUAUUGUGGAACGGAUGCUCUACUCAAAAGUUUAAGCCGGCAAGGGGCAUACGCCAGGGAUGUCCUCUUUCUCCUUACUUGUUCGUUCUCUGCAUCGAAUGGCUUAGACAUGAUAUUUGUUCCAAGAUUUCUAAUAAUUAGUGGCAUCCAAUUAGACUCUCCAGGUCAGGUCCUAACUUAUCUCAUCUUUUUUUUUGCUAGUGAUUUAGUUAUUUUUAGCAGGGCUGAUAUGAAGCAUGCCAAAAUCAUCAAAGGAGUUUUAGAUCGCUUUUGUGCUUACUCGGGACAUAGAGUUAAUGCUCAUAAGAUAAAUAUUUGUUUUUCCCAUUGUGUCAAGGAGGAUUCUUAGAGAACUGAUUAGUAACUAAAUAGGUUUUCAAAAGGUUAACUGUAACAGCCCGAUUCUAGGCCUAGUCGGAAUAGUAGUUUCAGGACCACAAAUCCGACGAGGGAAAAUAUGGUUAUUAUUAUAUUUUUAUGGUCUACAAUUUCACGGAAAAUUUUCGUAAAAAUUUCGUUCGAAAAUUUCGACGUUUGGGCACUCAAUUUAGUCAAAAGGACUAAAUUGUAAAUAGUGCAAAAGUUGAGUUCUACAUCUUAGAGGUGUCUAAUUGUUAUGAAAUUUUAAAUUGGAGGUCUUUAUGUGGUAAUUAGACCAUUAGUUAGUUGAUGGACAAAAAUAGACAUAAGAAAUGGGUGAAAUAGAUUUUUUUAAAUGGGGGCAUUUUAGUCAUUUGGUUAUUAAAUAGAAUUAAAUGGGAAAAAGAUGGCAAAAUAUGCUCAUCUUCUUCAUGGUGAACGAAAUCAGCAAGGGGGAAGCCAUAUUUAGGGUUUUUAAGCUUUCAAGCUCCAUAGUAAGUGAUUCUAAGCCCCGUUUUUAAUGUUCUUCGUAUUUUUGGAGUCCCGGUAACUUGGUUUAGCUUAUUCUACCAUUAAUUCGUGUUAGGAUUCAUAUUUGGAAAAAUACCCAUAGGUGAAAUGUGUUUAUUUUACUUUUGUAUGGUGGAAUAUGAAGCUAGAGAUUAUGUUAAACAACUUUUGCUAAGCACUUUUAAGCGAAAACGGGUAAAUAGACAUAAUCGGUAAAAAUAAUUAAUAUUCAAAAGUAUGUGUUGGAGUGGGAAUUUGAUGUUGCCAUAGAAGGGAAAAAUGUUCAGCAUGUUAUAAAACUUAAGAAAAAGUGAUGAAGUUUAAUUUCCGAGCUUGGGGACAAAAGUGUAAUUAUGCAAAAGUUUGGGGCAAAAUUGUAAUUUUCAAAAAGUUGGGUGGUGGAUUAUUUUAAUAAAUGUGAAUAUUAAACGAUUUAAAUUUGCUAUUAUAGAUCAAGAAAGACGUGAAGAGUAUAUCAAACGGGGAAAAGAAAAGAUAGUGGAGUAAAGUGCAAAAUUACGAUAUUUUGCACCGAGGUAAGUAAACACGUGACUUAAUGUAUUAUUUUGAUAUUAUUUGAUAUAUGUUGAGAUUUAUUUGGAAUUAAAAUAAAUGUUUGGCAAUAUCCUAAAAAUGUUGUUAAAUCGGGAAAGGUGAUAAAGGGUUGCAAUAUAUGGUUUAUGGGUUGAACACUCGGAAUAAGCCGGAGUAUGUUGUAUAUAAAAGGGGUUGCUGUGUGCUGAUUCCCCGAUUCAUGGGUGGUGCUAUGUGCGUGAUCCACCAUACCUUUGAAAUGUGAAAGGGGGUUGCUAUGUGCUGAUUCCCCCGAGGGGUUGCUAAGUGUUGAUUCCCCGAUUUCAUUGGUGGUGCUAAGUGCGAUAUCCACCGUAUUUUUGAAAUGAAAAGGGGGUUGCUAUGUGCUGAUUCCCCCGAGGGGUUGCUAAGUGCUGAUUCCCCGAUUCAUUGGUGAUGCUAAGUGCGAUAUCCACCGUAUCUUUGAAAUGAAAAAGGGGGUUGCUAUGGGCUGAUUCCCCGAGGGGUUGCUAAGUGCUGAUUCCCCGAUUCAGUGGUGGUGCUAAGUGCGGGAUCCACUAAUAACGGUUAACAUUCCGAGUGUUCAACGAAAAAGUGUGGAAGGUGAAUAUUUCCAUAUGGUGGAAAAUUUUAUGGGGUAAAUAUUGAGUUGAAUACUAAAUCGACCCAUGUAUGAGAUGGGAGAAAAUAUCAAAAACGCAAAAGGAACGAUUUAAUUAUAAACUGUGUUGAACAACAGCAAUUGGGUAACUUUGAAAAAAUCACCAUAAAUGGUGGAAAAUGAAUGGGAAGCUGAAUAAUAUAUGAAAUUGAAGUUGAAUGUAUCUAUUCUCAUAUGAAAGAAAUAGAAUAAGCAAAAGAGUUGUAUUUUUGGAGAUAUCUGAAUUUUACUGAAACAGGGCUGGAUUGAUUUCGAGAUCCCCUGUUCUAACUUUGGAAAAUUACCAAAAAUUGUAAAAAAAUAAUUAUGGCAUGAAGUUUAUAUCCCUGGAAUCCUUAUUGAGUCUAUUUUUAUUAGAAACAAGCAAAACCAUUUUUCAAAUUUUUUACAGAGAGUUAAGUGAAUUUUAGUGAGGAAGGGUCAGAACCGUUGGGCAGUGAAACAGGGGAAGGUUUAAUGAAUAAACUGUACUAAUUGGCUGGGUCAAAAAUUCUGAAAUUUUUAUGGUGAAAUGGUAUAUGAGUCUAGUUUCAGGGAAAAUUUACGGAACUCAAUUUGGAGCCCUGUAGCUCCAGAUAAAAAUAAAUUAGCGACUAUGACGCAGAAAAACAGCUUGCUGGAAAUUGCCUAAACAAUAAAGUUAUUCAUGAAUAAGUUUAUAUUUUGGUGUAGUUAUGGGAGUAAUUACUUAUUUAUCAUGUGUUUACUUACUAAGCUAUAUGCUUACUCGAUUUUAUUUUUCUCUUGAUUAUAGUGACUUCCAACAACUCGGAAAUUGGAACGAAGUCAGACAAUCAUCUACACUAUCCUUCACAUUUGGGGUAUUUUACUACUAGUGUUCCGAAAUUUUAUGGCAUGUAUAGACAAUUUAUGUAAUGUGGGAUCAUCAUGUAAAUAUAUGUUAUGGUUCCCUUUUAAAUGUAGUAUUUAUUAAUAGUUAAACUGUAUGUGUGUUUAUACAAAUGAAAUUGGUUGGUAUAUUGGAAUGUGUUCUAAAUUUGCAGGAGGUUUAAGCAAAAAUAAGUAGGAAUGCUGUCGAAAUUUUUUAAAAAUUUAGUAAUACCUCAUACUCUGUUCCGGUAAGAAAUACGGGUAAGGGGUGUUACAUUAACGAUCUUGGAUCCUAUUUAGGGGUUCCCUUAUUCUAUGGAAGAGUCACUAAAGGUACCCCAAGAUUUGUGGUGGAAAAGGUACGUACUAAACUUUCCAGUUGGGAUGCUAGAUACUUGUCUCUUGUCGAGAGAGCUACUUUAGCUCAAUUUGUUUUGCUUUCUAUACCUAACUACUUUAUGCAGACUAUGACGAUACCUAAAGGGAUAUGCGAGGAAAUUAAGAGUUUGGUUAGACAAUUCAUAUGGGGUUCUUCAAGUGGGAAGAGGAAGUUGGCCCUUACUUUUUUCAAUAGCAUUCUAAUGGAGGUCUCGGGUUGAGAAGAUUAGAAGACCAAAAUGUCUUUUUUCUCAUGAAGUUGGGGUUUAAUCUAGUUUCAAACCAUAAAGCCUUAUAGGUUAAGGUUCUUCAUUCUAAGUAUGGUUUGGAAGAUAGCUUGCCUAAUAAUAUUAUGAGAAAUAAUUGUUCUUUUCUAUGGAAAGGUAUGUCGAGGAUAUGGCCCUUAUUCAGAGAUAAGUUAAUAUGGUUAAUGGGCAAUGAGAAGUCUAUUCAAUGCUAGUUGGAUCCUUGGAUACCUCAAAUUGGGUCGUUAAUCAGUCAAAUACCUUCGUACCGAAAUUCGGAGGUAGAUUGCUGACUUGAAGACAUGGUUACUUUAAAGGGUAAUUGGAAUCUCAAUCUCUUCCGUUUAUGGGUCUCUAAUUCUAUUAUCAGACGUAUUGUGAGCAUUCUUCCACCACACCCAACUGAUGGACCUGAUAAGAUUUCGUAGGAGUCAAAUCUUAACUUAUUGGUCACUAAAGGAAGAUAGUUGGAAUCUUAAGGAUCCGAUAUGGAAUACUCCUUGGAAAUUCAAAGGCCCUCAUAGAGUUCAACUUUUUCUUUCGCUCACCUUUAAAGAACAUCUUCUCACUAACAUGGAGUGUGUUAGAUAAGGCAUUAGCCAUGAAACAUCGUGUCCAAUUUGUGGUCAUGCUAAAGAGAGCAUCCUACAUGUUUUUAGAGACUUUAAGCGGAAGUUGGAAAAAGGGUUCAAAGGAUAGGUGAAGUUUGAUGAUUGAUGUUAGGUUCGGGUUUUACAAGAAAAAUAAAGUACAGGUUUUGCAUCCGCAGGGGGAGUGAUACGGAAUCAUCAAGGGAACUGGAUUUUGGGAUUUAACCAUGUUAAAAGUUGUGUGACCCAAAUUCUUGUUAAAAUAAAUACAAGUGGCAAGAUAAGGGGAUCUACGAGGCCGAACUCCGAUAUUUGAUGUUUACUUCCUCUAUUUGAUGUUGAUUACAAUAAGGUGUUUUAACCUUACUACAUUACUUCUAUUUGACUUUGAUUAGAAUAAGGUUUCAAACCUAUAAAUAGACGUAAUUGUCUCUCCUC
rnacentral:lncRNA from 1 species